rnacentral:rRNA from 1 species
UACGAAGGGUGCAAGCGUUAAUCGGAAUUACUGGGCGUAAAGGGCGCGUAGGCGGCCUUCUAAGUCGAACGUGAAAUCCCCGGGCUCAACCCGGGAACUGCGUCCGAUACUGGAAGGCUUGAAUCCGGGAGAGGGAUGCGGAAUUCCAGGUGUAGCGGUGAAAUGCGUAGAUAUCUGGAGGAACACCGGUGGCGAAGGCGGCAUCCUGGACCGGUAUUGACGCUGAGGCGCGAAAGCCAGGGGAGCAAACGGG